rnacentral:lncRNA from 1 species
CAAAUCCUUUCAAAUGAAUUAAAUUCUCAUUAAUUUGUUAUAUCAAACAACAAAUUUAUAAAAAUAAAAUAAAAAUUCCAAUUCUUUACAAUUCUAGAAUUUAAGGUAGCCAAACAGGGUGCAAGUAAAAUUAAAUUUGAAAACAACUUGUUAACGCGUGUAUGUAUAUUCGUACGUACGUACGUAGUAAAUUUUACACUUUGCAUGGAAAUAUAUACUGUUGGCUUAAAUAGGCCAGCAUCCCGUCUUGUGGUGGUAGAUCAUGUUGAGCUGAGUCAUAUUCGAAAUGACGUGAGGCUGUAUGGGCCGAGUCACAAUCGAGAUCCGUAAGCGUUGUAUUUAAUACGUUUUAAAUGAAUUGAUUGCAUAUUUCUAACCGCUCGAGCUUUUGGGAUUAAUAGUUAGCGCCAACGAUCCGACAUAUACUGGUCGUGGCAAUAUAUAUUGUGGUGAAAAGUUUAUGG